AACGAACGCUGGCGGCAGGCUUAACACAUGCAAGUCGAACGCAUGCCUUCGGGCAUGAGUGGCAGACGGGUGCGUAACGCGUGGGAACCUACCCCUUGGUACGGGAUAGCUCCGGGAGACUGGAGAUAAUACCGUAUGUGUCCUGAGGGACAAAGAUUCAUCGCCAAGGGAUGGGCCCGCGUCGGAUUAGCUAGUUGGUGGGGUAACGGCCUACCAAGGCGACGAUCCGUAGCUGGUCUAAGAGGAUGAUCAGCCACAUUGGGACUGAGACACGGCCCAAACUCCUACGGGAGGCAGCAGUGGGGAAUAUUGGACAAUGGGCGCAAGCCUGAUCCAGCCAUGCCGCGUGAGUGAUGAAGGCCCUAGGGUUGUAAAGCUCUUUCACCGGUGACGAUAAUGACGGUAACCGGAGAAGAAGCCCCGGCUAACUUCGUG
rnacentral:rRNA from 1 species